rnacentral:rRNA from 1 species
AUUGAACGCUGGCGGCAUGCCUUACACAUGCAAGUCGAACGGCAGCAUGAUCUAGCUUGCUAGGUUGAUGGCGAGUGGCGAACGGGUGAGUAAUACAUCGGAACGUGCCCUGUAGUGGGGGAUAACUAGUCGAAAGAUUAGCUAAUACCGCAUACGACCUGAGGGUGAAAGUGGGGGACCGCAAGGCCUCAUGCUAUAGGAGCGGCCGAUGUCUGAUUAGCUAGUUGGUGAGGUAAAGGCUCACCAAGGCGACGAUCAGUAGCUGGUCUGAGAGGACGAUCAGCCACACUGGGACUGAGACACGGCCCAGACUCCUACGGGAGGCAGCAGUGGGGAAUUUUGGACAAUGGGCGAAAGCCUGAUCCAGCAAUACCGCGUGUGUGAAGAAGGCCUUCGGGUUGUAAAGCACUUUUGUCCGGAAAGAAAUGGCUCUGGUUAAUACCUGGGGUCGAUGACGGUACCGGAAGAAUAAGGACCGGCUAACUACGUG